rnacentral:rRNA from 1 species
UUAAUGAGAGUUUGAUCCUGGCUCAGGACGAACGCUGGCGGCGUGCCUAAUACAUGCAAGUAGAACGCUGAGGUUUGGUGUUUACACUAGACUGAUGAGUUGCGAACGGGUGAGUAACGCGUAGGUAACCUGCCUCAUAGCGGGGGAUAACUAUUGGAAACGAUAGCUAAUACCGCAUAAGAGUAAUUAACACAUGUUGGUUAUUUAAAAGGAGCAAUUGCUUCACUGUGAGAUGGACCUGCGUUGUAUUAGCUAGUUGGUGAGGUAAAGGCUCACCAAGGCGACGAUACAUAGCCGACCUGAGAGGGUGAUCGGCCACACUGGGACUGAGACACGGCCCAGACUCCUACGGGAGGCAGCAGUAGGGAAUCUUCGGCAAUGGACGGAAGUCUGACCGAGCAACGCCGCGUGAGUGAAGAAGGUUUUCGGAUCGUAAAGCUCUGUUGUUAGAGAAGAACGUUGGUAGGAGUGGAAAAUCUACCAAGUGACGGUAACUAACCAGAAAGGGACGGCUAACUACGUGCCAGCAGCCGCGGUAAUACGUAGGUCCCGAGCGUUGUCCGGAUUUAUUGGGCGUAAAGCGAGCGCAGGCGGUUCUUUAAGUCUGAAGUUAAAGGCAGUGGCUUAACCAUUGUACGCUUUGGAAACUGGAGGACUUGAGUGCAGAAGGGGAGAGUGGAAUUCCAUGUGUAGCGG